rnacentral:rRNA from 1 species
AGCUAGAGUACAGGAGAGGAAAGUGGAAUUCCUAGUGUAGCGGUGAAAUGCGUAGAUAUUAGGAAGAACACCAGUGGCGAAGGCGGCUUUCUGGACUGAAACUGACGCUGAGGCUCGAAAGCGUGGGGAGCAAACAGGAUUAGAUACCCUGGUAGUCCACGCCGUAAACGAUGAGUGCUAGGUGUCGGGGAGGAAUCCUCGGUGCCGCAGCUAACGCAAUAAGCACUCCACCUGGGGAGUACGACCGCAAGGUUGAAACUCAAAGGAAUUGACGGGGGCCCGCACAAGCGGUGGAGCAUGUGGUUUAAUUCGAAGCAACGCGAAGAACCUUACCAAGGCUUGACAUCCCGAUGACCGUCCUAGAGAUAGGACUUCUCUUCGGAGCAUCGGUGACAGGUGGUGCAUGGUUGUCGUCAGCUCGUGUCGUGAGAUGUUGGGUUAAGUCCCGCAACGAGCGCAACCCUUAUCUUCAGUAGCCAUCAUUCAGUUGGGCACUCUGGAGAGACUGCCGUGGAUAACACGGAGGAAGGUGGGGAUGACGUCAAAUCAUCAUGCCCCUUAUGUCUUGGGCUACACACGUGCUACAAUGGCUGGUAACAAAGUGACGCAAAACGGCGACGUUAAGCAAAUCACAAAAACCCAGUCCCAGUUCGGAUUGUAGUCUGCAACUCGACUACAUGAAGCUGGAAUCGCUAGUAAUCGCGAAUCAGCAUGUCGCGGUGAAUACGUUCCCGGGCCUUGUACACACCGCCCGUCACACCAUGGGAGUUGGAAGCACCCGAAGUCGGUGACCUAACCGUAAGGAAGGAGCCGCCGAAGGUGAAGCCAGUGACCGGGGUGAAGUCGUAACAAGGUAACC